AUUGAACGCUGGCGGCAGGCCUAACACAUGCAAGUCGAACGGUAACAGGAAACAGCUUGCUGUUUCGCUGACGAGUGGCGGACGGGUGAGUAAUGUCUGGGAAACUUCCUGAUGGAGGGGGAUAACUACUGGAAACGGUAGCUAAUACCGCAUAACGUCGCAAGACCAAAGAGGGGGACCUUCGUGCCUCUUGCCAUCGGAUGUGCCCAGAUGGGAUUAGCUAGUAGGUGGGGUAACGGCUCACCUAGGCGACGAUCCCUAGCUGGUCUGAGAGGAUGACCAGCCACACUGGAACUGAGACACGGUCCAGACUCCUACGGGAGGCAGCAGUGGGGAAUAUUGCACAAUGGGCGCAAGCCUGAUGCAGCCAUGCCGCGUGUAUGAAGAAGGCCUUCGGGUUGUAAAGUACUUUCAGCGGGGAGGAAGGGAGUAAAGUUAAUACCUUUACUCAUUGACGUUACCCGCAGAAGAAGCACCGGCUAACUCCGUG
rnacentral:rRNA from 1 species